rnacentral:snoRNA from 1 species
GUGCAAUGAUGCAUUUUCUUAAUCAACACAUCAUUCUGAAAACAUGUGUAGAUAAGUAAUAACUGAGCACA